AGCGAACGCUGGCGGCAGGCCUAACACAUGCAAGUCGAACGAACUCUUCGGAGUUAGUGGCGGACGGGUGAGUAACACGUGGGAACGUGCCUUUUGGUUCGGAAUAACUCAGGGAAACUUGUGCUAAUACCGAAUGUGCCCUUCGGGGGAAAGAUUUAUCGCCAUUAGAGCGGCCCGCGUCUGAUUAGCUAGUUGGUGAGGUAACGGCUCACCAAGGCGACGUUCAGUAGCUGGUCUGAGAGGAUGACCAGCCACACUGGGACUGAGACACGGCCCAGACCCCCACGGGGGGGAGGAGGGGGGAAUCUGGGGAAAGGGGGAAAAGCCUGACGCAGCCAUGCCGGGUGAAUGAUGAAGGUCUUAGGAUUGAAAAAUUCUUUCACCGGGGAAGAAAAUGACGGUACCCGGAAAAGAAGCCCCGGCUAACUUCGU
rnacentral:rRNA from 1 species